rnacentral:rRNA from 1 species
UAUUAUAUUACAUGUAGAUGUAAUGAGAAGCCUGAGUAGUAAUAGUUAUGUUCUUGAAACUUAAAGAAUUUGGCGGUAUUUUAGUCCUUUCAGAGGAACCUGUUCUGUAAUUGACAGUACACGAUUUUCUUUACUUCUUUUGGUUUAGCUUGUAUACCGCCGUCAUAAGAUUAUCUUUUAGGAGAGUUGAAAAUUUCUUUAUUUUUAAUUAAAUUGUAUGUCAGGUCAAGGUGCAGUUUAUGGGGAAGAAGAAAUGGGUUACAAUAAUAAUAAUUAUACGGAGAAUUGUAGUGAUUGUAAUUUGAAGGUGGAUUUGAUUGUAAAGUUUGUUUUGAAUAAGCAUUUUGAUUUGGGCUCUAAAAUGUGCACACAUCGCCCGUCGCUCUCAUUAUAAUGUGAG